rnacentral:rRNA from 1 species
GACGAACGCUGGCGGCGUGCUUAACACAUGCAAGUCGAACGGAAAGGCCUGCUUUCCCUUGUGGAUUGCGGGUACUCGAGUGGCGAACGGGUGAGUAACACGUGAGUGAUCUGCCCCCAACUUGGGUAUAAGCCUGGGAAACUGGGUCUAAUUCCCGAUAGGACUGCAGGGUGGUGCCUGUGGUGGAAAACGAUUUUCUAGUGGUUGGGGAUGAGCUCGCGGCCUAUCAGCUUGUUGGUGGGGUAAUGGCCUACCAAGGCGGGGACGGGUAGCCGGCCUGAGAGGGUGGACGGCCACAUUGGGACUGAGAUACGGCCCAGACUCCUACGGGAGGCAGCAGUGGGGAAUAUUGCACAAUGGGCGGAAGCCUGAUGCAGCGACGCCGCGUGGGGGAUGACGGCAUUCGGGUUGUAAACUCCUUUCGACCGCGAGGAAGCCACCUGGUUGGAAGGGUGGUGACGGUAGUGGUAGAAGAAGCACCGGCUAACUACGUG